GUGAUUCAGUUGAAUCCAAGCAGCCUCAAGAAGAGGUUUUCCUGGUGACUUCCAGGAAAUUUCCUGCUUGCUCUUCUGAGAAAACUCCCAAAUGUGACCUGCCUUUUCCUGCUGAACAAGAGUGACCUCAACACUCAGAAGGAACUCCAGCCUUGGAAAGGAGCCAGCACCGAAGGCUGGGCAGAGCUGAAGGGGGUUGGGUCUUUGGAGACAUCACCCCUAGAUUGACAGCAGCCAAUGUAUUGUGAGCUUCGGACCUCGCUGGCACUGAGAGUGGC